rnacentral:rRNA from 1 species
GACGUAGGAUGCAAGUGUUAUCCGGAAUCACUGGGCGUAAAGCGUCUGUAGGUGGUCAAAUAAGUCAACUGUUAAAUCUUGAGGCUCAACCUCAAAAUCGCAGUCGAAACUAUUAGACUAGAGUAUAGUAGGGGUAAAGGGAAUUUCCAGUGGAGCGGUGAAAUGCGUAGAGAUUGGAAAGAACACCGAUGGCGAAGGCACUUUACUGGGCUAUUACUAACACUGAGAGACGAAAGCUAGGGUACCAAUUGGG